AGAGUUUGAUCAUGGCUCAGGACGAACGCUGGCGGCGUGCCUAAUACAUGCAAGUCGAACGAACUCUGGUAUUGAUUGGUGCUUGCAUCAUGAUUUACAUUUGAGUGAGUGGCGAACUGGUGAGUAACACGUGGGAAACCUGCCCAGAAGCGGGGGAUAACACCUGGAAACAGAUGCUAAUACCGCAUAACAACUUGGACCGCAUGGUCCGAGCUUGAAAGAUGGCUUCGGCUAUCACUUUUGGAUGGUCCCGCGGCGUAUUAGCUAGAUGGUGGGGUAACGGCUCACCAUGGCAAUGAUACGUAGCCGACCUGAGAGGGUAAUCGGCCACAUUGGGACUGAGACACGGCCCAAACUCCUACGGGAGGCAGCAGUAGGGAAUCUUCCACAAUGGACGAAAGUCUGAUGGAGCAACGCCGCGUGAGUGAAGAAGGGUUUCGGCUCGUAAAACUCUGUUGUUAAAGAAGAACAUAUCUGAGAGUAACUGUUCAGGUAUUGACGGUAUUUAACCAGAAAGCCACGGCUAACUACGUGCCAGCAGCCGCGGUAAUACGUAGGUGGCAAGCGUUGUCCGGAUUUAUUGGGCGUAAAGCGAGCGCAGGCGGUUUUUUAAGUCUGAUGUGAAAGCCUUCGGCUCAACCGAAGAAGUGCAUCGGAAACUGGGAAACUUGAGUGCAGAAGAGGACAGUGGAACUCCAUGUGUGGCGGUGAAAUGCGUAGAUAUAUGGAAGAACACCAGUGGCGAAGGCGGCUGUCUGGUCUGUAACUGACGCUGAGGCUCGAAAGUAUGGGUAGCAAACAGGAUUAGAUACCCUGGUAGUCCAUACCGUAAACGAUGAAUGCUAAGUGUUGGAGGGUUUCCGCCCUUCAGUGCUGCAGCU
rnacentral:rRNA from 1 species